CAAAAUCAUCCAAACCUUCUACCAAGGACGAACAAUCUCCCUAGGUUAUUAAAUCAGGAAGACGGUCAAGAGAAUUACAGACGGCUCCUCGGACAACCAGAGGUGAGCUUGCGCGAGGGCGUCAAACACCGGAAUUGUGCAAAUUGCCUGCAGCCACAGAAACAACUUUUUCAACGAGAUAUCCCCUACACAAAUGCGCAAACCUCCAGAUGGCUAAGUACUGGCGUGUGCCAAGAACAGGCUAUAAGUGACUGUUUCUCGCAAACACAUUCCAGCAAGUGCUGGAGUGCAGCCUUUAAGUUUGGAUAUGGCCCCCAUAAAACGGGGUACCACUGGACUCGGGAAGCAGUCGGGCGCAAGAACUGCAGCUCAGGAAGGCCAGGAACCAGCCGCAGUGAUUGAUUAAUAGUAACCAAGCCGCUACCAACAAUAACUGCUUAUAAGGGUUGGGUGUUUCCUGUGUACCAAAGAGUAUCUAAUCUUAUCUAAUCAAUCCUAUCAAGUAGAACUGUUAUUCUUCACAAUUGGGAAACAGGCUCAGCAAGGCUAAUCUACUUGUCAGUCACACAACCAGUGAGGGAGGGUGUAGUACCUGGACCCGCAAGGCCACACUGUGUCUUCACUGCACGGGUUCGCGGGCUACACAGCUACAGACACUCAGGAAAAGGCAAGGUAGUUUUGAGCAGGGAGAGCCCAAAGACAAGAAUCAGGCACGGACGAGGAACACAGAGGCAGAAUCUUAGACAGCCACACGGAUGGGCUAAUUAUAACCCCCUCUUGUCCAUCUGGCAAGACAGUGUCACAGAAACGGGAAGAUGAGGUAUGUGAGAGAAUCAGGCAGAAGUCCAGUCCCAGCUCUGCCCCUGAUCAUCAUGCGGCUCUAGGUUGGACACAUCACACUGAGACUCAGUCCCGUCCGCCAGGGACAACUUAGAUCUUACUCA